rnacentral:lncRNA from 10 species
CUCCAACCCAGUGGGGAAGGGGAAAGCUAUUGAUUAAAACAAAAACUAUUUUGAGUUUUUGUUAUUAUGAGUUGAGCUCCUUAAUGAAGUUUUUCUAUUAUGGCUAUAUUGGCUGCACCCUAAAUGGGGUGUCCUGGGUGAACCAAAUGCUGGUGUAGGGAAAGGAAUGGGAAUGUUGAGGGGAUGGGAAGAGGCAUCAAGAACAGGAAUAUAAUUUUCCUACAGUGCUGUUCUGCUGAGACUACAGAGUACCUCAGGGAGUCAUGCAUCCUCUUCCUGUUGCUUUACUGAAUCUUAAAGAGUGAUACAGUACUAAUGAUGCCAUUCUAGCAACUGGAGCAGCUUCAGGGGAGAGAGCACAUUAAGGGUGCUGGGAUGGUAAUGGUUGGGAGGAAGCUGAAUGGUAGUAAGAGAGACAUUCUGUCCUGAGAACUCUGAUCCAGACCAUAUUGCGACUGAAACAAGGCAUAACAGGUCUUUGACUGGCUAUCCUGUGGAUGUGGACUCAGGCUAGCCUGCGCAAAGUGAAAGACAGGCAAUUAGAUUGAAAAAUACCUGUGAUUCAAAGAAGUCACAAGUCACAGAGACAAACUUUUCCCAGUGUGUUCGAGUCAGAGAACCUUUGCAAAGACCAACAGGCUAAAAGAGAAAAUACAAUGUCAUCUUGAUGCAGAUGAGCAGGUAACCAUGGAAGUCGUGAGCUGAGGCUGCAGAGUCUAGAGCCAGAGUGUGGAAUAAACUUGGGUCUCAAAUCACCCCUGGAGCAAAGCACCCAUCUAAUCAGGAACUUCUACUUUCAACUUUACAUGCGUGAGAAAUGAACUUCUAUCAUGUUAGAGAAAUCCUUACACGGCGCCCUUGAGAGCUUUCAUACUGCAAGUCAUCCAUUUUCCUCCCCUCAAACCUGGCAUCGGAGUUUAUUGAAACAAAGCAAAAUAAAACAAAUAGACAAAGCUCUACCUCCAUCACUUCUGCAGUCUACAUUAACCCCACGUCCAGAAUAUUCACACCUCAGGUCUUUUUCUCACAAUUGAAACACUGGUUCAGAGCCUAACGGAAGGUCUUGGAGGUCCAGUCUAAUUCCCCUCCCCAGGAAGAGGGAUGAGCCUUUGUGGCUGCCUCCAUAAAUGAAAAUGCGAUGGAAAGGAUGCUGCACGACUUAUGAGGCUAAGUCAUAAGAAGAACUAAAGCUUCUACCCAUUUCCACUUCCUUUUGGGAAACGUGUCUUGGGAGCCCUGAGCCAAUAUGUAAGAAGUCCAGCUAUGUAUAGCCACCAUGCUGCAGAAACCACACAGAGAUAAAGAUUCGUGAGGAGUCUCCCCAUUUCCAGUUCCCAGCUGCUUGAGUCCUCCCACCUCCCAGAAUGAACUGUCAGACAUGUGAGUAGAAAUGACUCCAGACCCAGCCUUCAAGCUGUUGUCCCAGCUGACACCAAGUAGAGCAAAGGAGUUGUCUCCAUCAGUCUAGCUCAUAUUGCAGAUUUGUGAGAAAAAAACAAAUGUUGCUGCGUUAAGCCAGUAAAUGCUAGGAUAAUUUGUUAUAUGACAAUGACAAGAGUAACCAGGACACCACCCUUGUGUUAUCAUUACGUUCUCCCCUUGCUUCUUGUGAUGCCCUUGCUUUUCUUCUCUACCAGUUGCUGAGAAUUAGAGGAAGACCUUUGCUCCCACCAAUGUCAACAUUUCUUUACCAGAAAACACAGAGGCAUUUAACUCAUAUUUCGAAGACUUACAGCUUCUUAUAAUGGCCCUGGUGGUUAUACUUUUUGUUCUACUGACUCUAUUUUGUUACAGUUACUCUGCCCACAAAGUGCAAGACCCUUUGUGAUUAUGUUGGGGGACAUCAAUUCAAAUGACACCGUGAUAGCAUUACUGUCAAAUCAUGCUUCCCUCUCAAUGCUGUUGAUGAAGCUGGUGUACCCCAACCCUGUUCUUACAGGUUAAGUUGCUUUUUCCCACUUGAAACAUUGUACAACAGCCAAAAGCUUAUCUGGUCAGUUUUAAUGCGUCCUGCCCCUUCCUAGGACUUAUUGCAAUGACAAACAUAUAAGAGCUGUGAAAACUCUGUGACUUACACACAGUAGGCACCUGGUGUUUUAAGUGCUCUUCCUGAAAUGCUCACUGACAAUAAAACUAUUGAACAGAUCAGGACUGAAAACAUAGCUUUGUUUUGUGCCAGCAAAGACUCUCUUCUCUCCUUUACAGGUUGACAUUGAGCCAUUAAUCAACAGUAUGUUCAACAGUAACUAGUGAGUUAUGAAUCCAACUAUGUGCCUCUAUUU